UCACGUUCAGUUACCCUGUAGCACCGAGCUGUGUGUCUGCAUUUUGGUACACACGGUCGGUUACAGGUUAAAUGAAUUUGAAA
rfam:Trichinella papuae scaffold73s, whole genome shotgun sequence.